CACGUAGGGCGCAAGCGUUGUCCGGAAUUAUUGGGCGUAAAGAGCUCGUAGGCGGUUUGUCGCGUCUGCUGUGAAAACCUAAGGCUCAACCUUGGGCUUGCAGUGGGUACGGGCAGACUAGAGUGCGGUAGGGGUGACUGGAAUUCCUGGUGUAGCGGUGGAAUGCGCAGAUAUCAGGAGGAACACCGAUGGCGAAGGCAGGUCACUGGGCCGCAACUGACGCUGAGGAGCGAAAGCGUGGGGAGCGAACAGG
rnacentral:rRNA from 1 species